ensembl:snRNA U6 U6 spliceosomal RNA
AUACUCAUUUCAGCUGCAUGUGUACUAAAAUUGGAACAAUACAAAGAAGAUUAGCAUGGUCCCCAUGCAAGGAUGACUCACAAAAUUCAUGAAGUGAUCCAUAUUUUU